AAAGGCAUACAGUGUUGCAGCUGCUAGCAGUCCCUGAUCUGAUGCUACCAUAGUACAGUGAGCUGUUUAAUUCUCCUGGACGUUUUCCUACAGCAACUCUCUGUAAAAAUUUGUUUUGCUGAGGGCAAUUCAUGUCAUCUAAUGAAGAAUUGAAACAGGAAGUCUUAUUUAAGAAGUUCCAGCAGGACUACUAGGAGGAAAGAGAUUAAGGUGCAAUAGUACUUGCUACUAUGAAAAGUCAAAAUACACUGUAAAGUGUUGUAUUUCUGUUCUUUGGCAUUGAUGAUUUCUUUGUCUUGGAAAGUACAUGUCUCAUCCUGAGCGUUGGAUUUCUCAAUUGAGUGGGCACUUGGUCAAAAUGGAUUGGGCAAAGCAUUUGCUAGCAGUAUUUUGUAACAUCACCUGAACCUUAUCUCGUCUUCACCAUACCAGAACAUCAUUCAUUUUAUGUGCCAGAACCUUACACAGACUCAGACUUUACAGUCCUUGAAUGUAAAGCAAGGUCACAUUUUUUCUCCACAUCAGGACUUGCAGAGUCAUCUUUGGCAAGGAAGAUGGCUGCAAUUCACCAUUGUUCUUCAGUAAUUCUGGCCUAUCUGGCUAAGUAUCAGUCCUGUCUUGUCCCUCCUUAGCUUCCACAGUUCUGGUGGAGUUUCACACAACUUCAUGAGCAGCACUGGCUAGAAAUCUGGCUGAGAUAAAAAUACGUCUGUGACAAAAUCAAGAAGCCAAAUCUUAAAUAUCUCAGUGAGACAGACCACGUGGACGUACUGUGUAUCUUGUCAUCUGGAGUUCAUUUUUGGUUAACACUGACAGCAGUCAUGGCACUGUUAGUGUUUACUAGAACAUUAAGGCAUCUUUUCAGAUUUGAGAGGUGCUUCUUUUGCUGCCUCUUCCCCAGGAUUUUACAUCAGUGUAAAAAUACCAGCCCCUCUAGUUUAUAUUACUUUCUAUCAAGAGAGGCAGUUUCACCUUAAGCGUACAUGAUCAAACUGAAGUACAUGAAUAUAAUGCUAAAGGAAUUCCAAGUUUUGCCAUAAUGACCACUGCCUUUUUUUCCUCACCUGCUCCUUUAAAUCAGCUGGUCACAUUGCUGAUUCCGAAACAGAUGCUGCCUUUGCACAAUGAAUCACAGGGUGUAUAUGUGAACAACAAAAAAAGACAAUUUAAUGGCCAUCUCUGAAGUAUUGAAAUAUUUGUCAAACUUUUCUAUCUACCAGCUGAAAUGACCUUUUCAGAAUUCCCUGACCUCUACGUUGGCAAACAUGGUGCAUCUGCCUCAAGCAUAUGUUUUCUAGGCAGAAGCAAGCAGACCCAUCAUUAUGAUGAUCUCCUCACUGCUCAGAUAUUCCAUUUAUUACAGAUAUUAGAUGCACUGAAUAAGAACGACAAUCUGUUUUUAGCUUCCACAUCUCAAAAUACUGUUUCAAUUCUAACUUAUAUUAUUGAAAAACACAGACCUCUCCCUGUAAGAGGGCCCACAUCUUUGAAGUUCCACAUCUGUGCAAGGUUGGGGGUAUAAAUGAGUGGGGAUAUAAUGCAGCCGCUUUCCUUAAUGGGUCAUUGUUUUUAAUGGUCUGUUUCAGCCUGAUUCAGAAAUCUCAUUACAAGGCAAAUGAGAACAAUCUGAUGGUCAAAAAGUGGAUUUUCUUUACGUGUUAAAACUUGUCAGGUUAUCAUUUCUUUCGCUGUAACAUGCCAUGUAAGUCCCUUAAUCUUAGUGAUAUGUAGGCGAGUAUAUGAAAAACUAAUAAACAUCAAUUU
rnacentral:lncRNA from 7 species